AAAUUGAAGAGUUUGAUCAUGGCUCAGAUUGAACGCUGGCGGCAGGCCUAACACAUGCAAGUCGAACGGUAACAGGAAGCAGCUUGCUGCUUCGCUGACGAGUGGCGGACGGGUGAGUAAUGUCUGGGAAACUGCCUGAUGGAGGGGGAUAACUACUGGAAACGGUGGCUAAUACCGCAUAACGUCGCAAGACCAAAGAGGGGGACCUUCGGGCCUCUUGCCAUCAGAUGUGCCCAGAUGGGAUUAGCUUGUUGGUGAGGUAACGGCUCACCAAGGCGACGAUCCCUAGCUGGUCUGAGAGGAUGACCAGCCACACUGGAACUGAGACACGGUCCAGACUCCUACGGGAGGCAGCAGUGGGGAAUAUUGCACAAUGGGCGCAAGCCUGAUGCAGCCAUGCCGCGUGUAUGAAGAAGGCCUUCGGGUUGUAAAAGUACUUUCAGCGGGGAGGAAGGUGUUGCGGUUAAUAACCGCAGCAAUUGACGUUACCCGCAGAAGAAGCACCGGCUAACUCCGUGCCAGCAGCCGCGGUAAUACGGAGGGUGCAAGCGUUAAUCGGAAUUACUGGGCGUAAAGCGCACGCAGGCGGUCUGUCAAGUCGGAUGUGAAAUCCCCGGGCUCAACCUGGGAACUGCAUUCGAAACUGGCAGGCUUGAGUCUUGUAGAGGGGGGUAGAAUUCCAGGUGUAGCGGUGAAAUGCGUAGAGAUCUGGAGGAAUACCGGUGGCGAAGGCGGCCCCCUGGACAAAGACUGACGCUCAGGUGCGAAAGCGUGGGGAGCAAACAGGAUUAGCUACCCUGGUAGUCCACGCCGUAAACGAUGUCUACUUGGAGGUUGUGCCCUUGAGGUGUGGCUUCCGGAGCUAACGCGUUAAGUAGACCGCCUGGGGAGUACGGCCGCAAGGUUAAAACUCAAAUGAAUUGACGGGGGCCCGCACAAGCGGUGGAGCAUGUGGUUUAAUUCGAUGCAACGCGAAGAACCUUACCUGGUCUUGACAUCCACAGAAGAAUCCAGAGAUGGAUUUGUGCCUUCGGGAACUGUGAGACAGGUGCUGCAUGGCUGUCGUCAGCUCGUGUUGUGAAAUGUUGGGUUAAGUCCCGCAACGAGCGCAACCCUUAUCCUUUGUUGCCAGCGGUCCGGCCGGGAACUCAAAGGAGACUGCCAGUGAUAAACUGGAGGAAGGUGGGGAUGACGUCAAGUCAUCAUGGCCCUUACGACCAGGGCUACACACGUGCUACAAUGGCGCAUACAAAGAGAAGCGACCUCGCGAGAGCAAGCGGACCUCAUAAAGUGCGUCGUAGUCCGGAUUGAGUCUGCAACUCGACUCCAUGAAGUCGGAAUCGCUAGUAAUCGUGGAUCAGAAUGCCACGGUGAAUACGUUCCCGGGCCUUGUACACACCGCCCGUCACACCAUGGGAGUGGGUUGCAAAAGAAGUAGGUAGCUUAACCUUCGGGAGGGCGCUUACCACUUUGUGAUUCAUGACUGGGGUGAAGUCGUAACAAGGUAACCGUAGGGGAACCUGCGGUUGGAUCACCUCCUUA
rnacentral:rRNA from 1 species